rnacentral:rRNA from 1 species
AAUAUUUAUAUAAAUUUAAUUAAAUAAUUUUAUUUAUUAAAAUUUUAAUAAAAAUAUUUAUAUUUUAUGUUUUAUUUAUGUUUAGUGUUUGUUUUUCAUAGUUUAUUUAACUGUAAGGUUAUUUUAUAUAUAUUUCUAAAAGCAAAAUUUUGAAUUAUACCUUUUGUAUCACGGAAGAACAAAUAAUAUUAUUAUUUUAUAUUUCUCGAAAUUAUGAAUGAUACUAUUUAAUUUUAUAGAUUUUGUUGCAAUAAUAAUUUUAUAUAAUUAUAUAGGGGUGAAUAUGCUAAUCGAAUUUAAUGUUAUCUAGUUUUAUUUUUAUUUAAUGAUUUAUUUUUAAGGGGUAUAGCUUUAAUAAAUUUUAUAAAUUUUAUUUUAUUUAAAAGAAUAUAGAGUUGAAAGUGCUUUUUUAUUUGAAAUGUGUAAUGACUAUAUUUAGGUAAUUUUUUAUUUAAUAUAAUUUAAUAUAAAAUUUAAUUUUUAAUUUUAGAAAAAAUGUUUUUAUUAGUAUAAAAUUUUGUUUUAAUUAUAAAUAUUUUUAUUAAAUUAUUUUAAGGAACUCGGCAAAUUUUAAUUUUUCGUCUGUUUAUCAAAAACAUAGCUUUAUGUUUUUAUAUAAAGUAUAGUCUGCCCAGUGAUAUAUAUUUAACGGCCGCGAGAUUUGUGUCUAAGGUAGCAUAAUAAUUUGUCUUUUAAUUGAUGACUGGAAUGAAUGGCUGGACGGGUGAAUAACUGUCUCUAAUUUUUUUUUAGAAUUUUACUUUAAAGUUAUAAAGGCUUUAAUAAUAUAGAGGGACGAUAAGACCCUAUAGAGUUUUAUAAUUAACUUUUAAAUUUUACUUAAAUUUAAAAAUUAAUUAUUUGGUUGGGGCAAUUUUGUAAUUAAUUCUAAUAAAGAUUUUAUUGACUUUGAGUUUAUAAAGAUCCAUAUAUUAUGAUUAGUAGAUUAAAUUACCUUAGGGAUAACAGCGUAAUAUUUUUUUAGAGACCAAAUUAAUAAAAAUGAUUGCGACCUCGAUGUUGGAUUAAAGGACCUAAUUGGAGAAUCAGCUAAUUAAGGUAGUCUGUUCGACUAUUAAAUUUUUACAUGAUCUGAGUUCAGACCGGCGUAAGCCAGGUCAGUUUCUAUCUUCUAUUUAAUUGAUAAAUUUUUUUGUACGAAAGGACUUAAAAUUUAAAUUUAAUUUUGGUAAUUU